rnacentral:rRNA from 1 species
UACGUAGGGUACAAGCAUUAAUCGGAUUUAUUGGGCGUAAAGGGCGCGUAGGCGGGAGUGCCAGUCAGAUGUGAAAUCCCGAGGCUCAACCUCGGAACAGCAUUUGAAACUACACUUCUAGAGGGUAGGCGGAGAAAACGGAAUUCCACAAGUAGCGGUGAAAUGCGUAGAUAUGUGGAAGAACACCGGUGGCGAAGGCGGUUUUCUAGCUUAUACCUGACGCUGAGGCGCGAAAGCAAGGGGAGCAAACAGG